AUGAUUUAUGUAAAUUUACCUCAAUAAUAUGAAUGUUCAGGUUAAGAUUGUACAGUGAUAUUUAUUAUGUAAGUUUAACUGAUUAAAGUUUAUGACUCUGCACUACAAUAUUAUUUAUUAUUUAGAUUUACAUCAUUAUAAUAUUUAGGGUCAGACUCUACAGUAUUGAGAUUAAGAAAUCAAAUAUUCUAUAAAAUGUAAAUACACUGAACUCAUUUGGAUAUAUUUAAGUGAGAAUCUACAAUAUUCUUUGACACAAAUCUAUCUAAAUCAAAAUUUUAAUCAUUUUUACUCCAAACAUUUACUGGACUGAUUUAAACAUUAAAAUCACUCCUUUCUAAUCCUCUGCUGUACGUUCAAACCUGAGGCCUUAAAUAGAAACACACAAGUAUCUGAUUGAAGGAACUUCUGCAGAGUCCUGGUUCCAGAACAUGAUGAUAGAAUUAUAGACAAACUUUAACAAAAGCUGCCUGAGAGUUUACAGGUUUUUAUAUUAGAUUUCUUCAGUAAUUUAAUGAGAGUUAUCAGCAAAAAUCAAGUGUUCAUUUGAUGAACUUCAUUUCCUAAAACAUCCAGAAUUGGAGCUCAUAUCUUUGGCAGCUGUAAAGUUUCUGCUUCUUCAAAGUUCACAACACAAUGAAUGAAUUCCUAAAACACUCUCAAUGCUGGAGAGCGUUUGUGAUGCUGAAGCAGUGACCAGUUUUUCUGUUUCUUCUCUGGAAAUGCACAAUGAGGGACGUCUGCAGCGACUGAGAAAGAGUCUCACCACAUCCUGACAUGAGGAAAAAGACUUUAUUGAAGACUACAAUGAGAAAAACUAUCAGACAGCAGACGGCUGCAUUCAAGGUGAGAUCUGAACAUUUGAUCUGGAACAGGAAUUCAAUCACGGCAGCAUGAGCUUCAUUUCAGUCUGUAGCUGCUGAAUUCAUGGAUGAAUCAUCUGGCACUAGAGAGGAAGACCAUCAAACAUCCACGUCAGCUGAUGGAGGUCCAAGAGUCUCACCCAACAAACAACCUACAGAGUGAAGACCUCGAAUCUGAUUGGACGGCCUCCUAUUCAGCCACGUUUUAGGCUGUUAGAUUGUUCCAGAUAAGACGAGUACAAGAUUCUUCAGAGCCGUUCUACCAGGAGUCUGACAGGAAGAACUCCAACAGCUACUGAAUGUUCCUGUGGUUCCCUCAAGGCUACAGGAGGAGUCCUACGAGGACGAGCCGGUCCACCUGAUGGCGGCCAGUCGCUGUGGUUCAAAGCCAACACCGACUACGUGGACUUCUACUGGACCACAUGGAGGCCUUCAAACCGGACCAACAAGUUCAGCGACUCCCCGACUCGUGGGUCUGAGGAUGCCGCCGAGCCUCGGUCCAGCCGGCCUCCUGUCUGUGGGUGUUUGAGUGCUGAGAGGCCUCCGUUGACUCGUCCCGCCUGCCGUCUCUGGAGCUGAAGCUGGAUUGGAACAGACCAAAGUACAGUCCAAUCACGAUGCCAGCUGCCUCUCAAAAGGCUCCUUCAUCUGGCAG
ensembl:lncRNA